UCGGAUGUCUUGGGGAUCCGCCAGGGCAUGGCGGACGGCUCAGUAACACGUGGCCAACCUACCCUAGGGAGGGGGAUAACCCCGGGAAACUGGGGCUAAUCCCCCAUAGGAGAGGGAAGCUGGAAGGCUCCCUCCCCGAAAGGAACCGCGUCCGGAACCCGGCGCGAUUCGCCCUAGGAUGGGGCUGCGGUCCAUCAUGGUUGUUGGUGGGGUAAUGGCCCACCAAGCCGAAGACGGAUGGGGGCCGUGAGAGCGGGAGCCCCGAGAUGGGCACUGAGACAAGGGCCCAGGCCCUAUGGGGUGCAGCAGGCGCGAAACCUCCGCAAUGCAGGAAACUGCGACGGGGUUACCCCGAGUGCUACCCGAUGAGGGUAGCUUUUCCCCGGUGUAGAAAGCCGGGGGAAUAAGCGGGGGGCAAGUCUGGUGUCAGCCGCCGCGGUAAUACCAGCUCCGCGAGUGGUCGGGGUGAUUACUGGGCCUAAAGCGCCCGUAGCCGGCCCGGCAAGCCUUGCUCUGAAAUCCCCGG
rnacentral:rRNA from 1 species